GAUAUUGGUUCAUGUCUUUCCAUUAUGCAUUCAAAGUUUAUAAUCUUUAGGACCGAAACUUCAAUUUUUACAUGCAUGGCACCUUACCUGAAAUGUCAAAAUGUUGCACCUGCAUAGUACUUUGCAUUGUUGGUUUAUCUGUAACUUGAAAAACUGCAGCUCAAUAGUUUGAGGUUUACCUGCAGUAUAUCUUUUGCAUUCCUCACCUAAAAAUUGUGCUGCGUUGUUCUGUGUAUGAUGAGGUGAUUUUAUGUGUGUAACGCGUAAUAAGUGCAGAUGUAUCUGCAUUCAUGUAGCUAAUCUCAAAGCGGUAUGCGUUGUAGUUUGUAAAUGAGCAGCAAAAGAGAACUGUUUCAUGAGAUUCAUUGAUGUGAAUUAGCUCUAGGAAUAUAGGUUUCUUAGUUUCUUUUUUUUUUUUUUUUUUUUUUUUUUGUAAAGGAGAUGGUUGUGGUGCGAGUAAAUUGCAGGUGUUAUUUCAUUUGCAUACUUGUGUGUGAUUUGAAAAUGAAGUAUUGUGGUAGUGGGCAUCCCACUUCAACUCAAUUAAGAAAAGCCACAAUAUAGGGAUUUGGCGUAAGUUGGGAGAACAACUCAAGAUCUGUUGCCCAAUCAAUGGUGUCUAUCCACUGGAGCAAUGCACUUGGUUGGCAAUUUCAGAUGAGUUAUGUUACACGUUACAUUUCCAACACCAAUACUUCAUUUUUUUUACAUACAUACCUUACCUACCAUGUGAGAAAUGUUCUGGUGUUGUAUCUUGCAAGGGCAGUCAUAUCCUCCACAAGAUGAGGUUUAAGGGUACCAUGACUCUCACUUUCAUGCUAAUAUACCUCUCAGAGCAGUGGGUUGUGUUUUGAAGAUCACAAGCUUAGCAAGUUUGUGGUUUUUAGUGGAAUUUGAGGCAAUAACAAGUCUGAGGAUCCGACUGUUCUUAUGUGCAUAAAUUUGGAAGGGGUAUGAAAAUUUGAUUGUAGUAAUUUGUAUGAUGCUUGCUAAUCUAAUUUGUUGUUGAGUAGUUCUUAAAUAAUGUUUAAUGAUGUCAUGUGUGUAAAACUUGAACUAU